rnacentral:tRNA from 1 species
GGGCGGAUGUAGCCAAGUGGAUCAAGGCAGUGGAUUGUGG